GGGGCUGACGUGGAUUUUGACAGCAUGAUGAAUUAGUAUGUAAGCAUGUCGAGCGUUGUUAUUCCAGCUCGUAAAUAUCGGAUAUCAAACUUUUUAAUUGGCGAAAAUAACUACGCUCUUGCUGCUUAAUCGAAUAAAGUAGAUUAAUGCUUCAUCACCACUCCAGGAGUGGAGACGAGACAUCCAACUUAUGGUUCCACCUUGUUCCGGUAAGUAAUUGGAUGCUAUCAAUUCAGGGUUAGUCUGCUUCAGGCUUUGGGGAGUAGGCGAAAUUAAAAAGAUAAGAUAAAGUAUCGGGUGUGCUUUCCCUAACUUUGUACGAAAAUCAAUAAAUCACUACACAUGUAGAAAGCCUAUUGAUCGCGUGUUUGGACCAGGGUUCGAUUCCCUGCAGCUCCACCA
rnacentral:tmRNA from 1 species